rnacentral:lncRNA from 1 species
UCAUGGUCAUCAAACGCUUACCUUCAAUAAGGUUGAGUUGGUCGUAGCGUGUUUGAGCCCACUCUGAUUCUUCUAGGACCGAUUCCACUAGUAUUUUCUGGGAAGGGACCUCUACCUCAAAUGGGAGUACCGCUUCCAUCCCAUAAACCAAGGAAUACGGCGUUGCCCCAGUAGAAGUUCGUACCGAGGUUCGAUAUCCAUGCAGGGCAAAAGGCAACAUCUCAUGCCAAUAUUUGUAUGACACUGUCAUCUUCUGAAUAAUCUUCUUAAUAUUUU